GCCAUCUUAGCUUAAGUCAAAGCAUAACACUGAAGAUGUUAAGAUGGGCCCUAGAAAGCCCCGAAGGCA
rnacentral:tRNA from 1 species